rnacentral:rRNA from 1 species
ACAUAACUGAUGCCUCCGCGUAUCGACUUUGUGCGCAUUUUAGCUAUUAUGUGUUCUUUUAAUUAGAAUGAUUCUUUUUAAGAUUCAUCUAUUAAAAAUUUGCUUCGGCAUAAUUUUUUUUGAUGAUCUUGUUACUUUGAGUAAAUUAGAGUGUUCAAAGCAAACAGAUAUAGCAUUUGUGCGUUUGAAUACUACAGCAUGGAAUAACAAAAUUGAACAAGUCAGAAUUUUUUUGUUCUUUUUUCUUAUUUUGGCUUAGUUACGAUUAAUAGGAGUAGCUUGGGGGCAUUUGUAUUCAGAUGUCAGAGGUGAAAUUCUUAGAUUUUCUGGAGACAAACAACUGCGAAAGCAUUUGCCUAAAAUACUUCCAUUAAUCAAGAACGAAAGUUAAGGGAGUGAAGACGAUCAGAUACCGUCGUAAUCUUAACCAUAAACUAUGCCGACUAGGCUUUGGAUGAAAGAUUUUAAAAUAAGAGUUUUUCUUUUCUCUCCGGAGAUUAGAACUCUUAGAUUGCUUCCUUCAGUGCCUUAUGAGAAAUCAAAGUCUUUGGGUUCUGGGGCGAGUAUUCGCGCAAGCGAGAAAGUUAAAAGAAUUGACGGAAGGGCACCACCAGGCGUGGAGCUUGCGGCUUAAUUUGACUCAACACGGGAAAACUCACUAGUUUAAGACAAGAGUAGGAUUGACAGAUUAAUAGCUCUUUCUUGAUUUCUUGGAUGGUGAUGCAUGGCCGUUUUUAGUUCGUGAAUAUGAUUUGUCUGAUUAAUUCCGAUAACGAACGAGAUCUUAACCUGCUAAUUAGCGGCAAAUACGAUAUAUUCUUAUGUAGAAUUGAAUAUAGUGGAUUUGUUGGAUUUUGAAGAAAAUAUUGGAAUUACGUUAAAUGUGAUUCCUUUCCCUUUUCCACUUAAUUUACAUUUCCAUCUAUUUCUUUUUUGCGUAUGAAUGUAUUUGCUUGAUUGUAAAGCUUCUUAGAGGAACGAUGUGUG